CCUCCCAAGAAUUGUAGUCCACUAAAAGUCACUUUUUCACCAUUUAUUUAACUUAUUAACUAUAAUCACAAAUCACAUUCUCAUCACUUGAGUCACUGUCUCACUCCCCGGUCUCUCACUCUCACUAGUCCCAUGCAUUAUAUAUACUUUAUAUUAUCUCACGUUCAGUUCAUUCUCACCUAUGAUUGGUUCGUCUUAAUUGCAUUAUUUUGCACUAUAUUAUUAAAUCAACACAUAAUCAUCCCCAGUCUCCGACACACUCCCCCCAUGUAGCUCCUAUAUGGAGAUACAUGUUAUGAAGGAGACUUUUAUAAAACAUAACAAUGAAUAUAGAAAAUGUCAAUAGUAAAAUAGUCAAAGUUGCCCUUAGUUUUUAAAGUUGUUUGUGUUCAUACUCUGCAAUCUUCCGAAUUCGCUCAUCAGCUUCUUCAGCAGCUUUUCGCUUCGGUCGGAAAACCUUAGCAUCUGGGUUCAGUAUGGUUGCAUCUGGUUUAACGCUCUCACUUGCAAGCUCCAUUGGGUAGAGGUGCUGGACAGGUCUCUCGAGGGUUCCUUUAGCUGUCUUCAGUUUCACUGCCCGAACGACUCCGUCUUUUCCCGGAAAGACUCGUUGCACG
rnacentral:lncRNA from 1 species